AGGUGGAAUAAUUUUAUAAGGAGAUGCUGCCCUUCGUGUAUUUGAUUUCUCAGUAGAGUUUAUAGGAAAGGCAGGGUGUACAAUAUAAUAAUUGAACAUUUCUGUACAUUAUUCAGUGUUCAUCACGGUUUUAGGCAAUAGUCAGCAGUGUUGCCACAAGAAUUGAAAAGAUGUCAUCUGUUACCUCUUUAGCCUAAAUGGAUCCAGGACAAUAAUUCACCAUAAUCAGGUGUCCACAAUUCUACGGCAGCAGGAGAAAUUCACUUAUACUUUAUGGCUGAAAGGGAACUAUGAACAAACACUGAAAAUUUCCAUGAUUUUCAAAAAUGGUUGGGAUGUAGACUUCAUUCAAUUUUCAGUUCUUUGGUGGUUAUGUUAAUAAAAACCACCUCCCCUCUAGUUCUUCUUCUCUUCUUCUUCUAUGGCAAUAUAGUCAGAUGGCUCAACAAUUAAAAUGUAUAAAGAGAUAAUCACUGAAAACCUCCCUUCCAUUUUCUACCUCCAUCUACCCAGUCACCUCCUUAAUUUCUUUUAUAUCUUUCUAGAUUCUUUAUGUAUAUAUAAACAAAUACAAAUACAGAUAGAUUCUUGUUUUUCUUCUUUCUUUACACAGAAGAUAGCAGAAUAUCCACUGUUCUGCACUUUGUUUUUCUCAUUUAAAAGUGUAUCUUGGAGGGGUGACUGGGUGACUCAGUCAGUUAAGCAUCCAACUCUCAAUUUCAGCUCAGGUCAUGAUCUGAGGGUUGUCAGAUCAAGCCCUGCCAUUGGGCUCCACAUUGAGCAUGGAACCUGCUGAAGAUUCUCUCUCUCUCCCUCUGCCCCCACCUACAUCCCACCUCCCUGCUGCUUGCUCUCUCUCUCAAAAAAGUGUAUCUUGGAGAUCUUUCCAUAUUAAAACAUAUAGAGCUUCCUCAUUCCUUUUUGCAGCUGCAUAAUGUUUUAUUUUAUUUUAUUUUAUUUUAUUUUAUUUUAUUUUAUUUUAUUUUAUUUUAUUUUAUUAUGUU